GAUGAACGCUAGCGGGAGGCCUAACACAUGCAAGUCGAACGGGAUUGGGAGCUUGCUCCCAUGAGAGUGGCGCACGGGUGAGUAACGCGUAUGCAACCUGCCUAUAACAGAGGGAUAGCCCAUAGAAAUGUGGAUUAAUACCUCAUAGUCCUUAAACUCCGCAUGGAUUUUAAGGUAAAACUCCGGUGGUUAUAGAUGGGCAUGCGUGACAUUAGCUAGUUGGUGUGGUAACGGCGCACCAAGGCGACGAUCAGUAGGGGAACUGAGAGGUUGGUCCCCCACACUGGCACUGAGAUACGGGCCAGACUCCUACGGGAGGCGGCAGUGAGGAAUAUUGGACAAUGGAUGGAAAUCUGAUCCAGCCAUGCCGCGUGCAGGAAGACGGCCCUAUGGGUUGUAAACUGCUUUUAUAUGGGAGCAAUAAGGCCUACGAGUAGGUUGAUGAGAGUACCAUAUGAAUAAGCACCGGCUAACUCCGUGCCAGCAGCCGCCGUAA
rnacentral:rRNA from 1 species